rnacentral:rRNA from 1 species
GACGAACGCUGGCGGCGUGCUUAACACAUGCAAGUCGAGCGGUAAGGCCCUCGGGUACGACGAGCGGCGAACGGGUGAGUAACACGUGGGUGACCUGCCCUCCACUUCGGGAGUAAGCCCGGGAAACGUGGGUCUAAUACCGGUUAGGACCUCCUCAUGCAUGUGGGGUGGUGGAAAGCUUGUGUCUUUGAUGCUUGCGGUGGGGAGUGG